rnacentral:rRNA from 1 species
UACGUAGGGCGCAAGCGUUAUCCGGAAUUAUUGGGCGUAAAGAGCUCGUAGGCGGUUUGUCGCGUCUGCCGUGAAAGUCCGGGGCUCAACUCCGGAUCUGCGGUGGGUACGGGCAGACUAGAGUGAUGUAGGGGAGACUGGAAUUCCUGGUGUAGCGGUGGAAUGCGCAGAGUAUCAGGAGGAACACCGGUGGCGAAGGCGGGUCUCUGGGCUGUAACUGACGCUGAGGAGCGAAAGCGUGGGUAGCGAACAGG